rnacentral:tRNA from 1 species
UGGGGUGAAGUAUUUUGUACAUCUUAGUUACAUUAAGAAGGACCAUAGUUUUGGCGCCCUAA